CUUUCUCAAAUCUUCCAAUAAAAACCGCGCGUAAGAGAACAGCGUGCUCUCCAGUGAAGAAUUCCUGUAGUUGUUGUAGGUUAGCUUUCUCUCUCUUCCUGCUUUUUUGGGCGUCGAUCGUUGCCUCAUAGCCCUGUUCUCUCUUCUGAUCUCGAUUGGUAAUUCGAUUCAUUUCUCAGAUUUCAAGCGAACCCUAAACUCAGUGCUUGUGCGAUGGUAUCCACUCGCACUUCACCCCGCACUCCGUCAAGAACUCGUGUAAGGGUGUCACACCAACCCAAGAAGAACCGAUACACAAAUGCACCUGGGACAGCGACAACACAAAGCUUUUUUUGCAACUGGUCAUAGCAGAGAUGGGGGACGGUAACCUCCAACUGUGCUCCUUGUCAAUGACUGGUUACAAGAAACUUGUGAAUAAGUUCCUGGACAAAACAGACUUGCUAUAUUCUGCCAAACAAAUGAAAAAUAAAUAUGACAACCUAAAGAAAGAUUGGAUUGCUUGGAAAAAGCUAUAGGAUAGUAACCAAGGCUUCACAAGGAUUGGGUAUGACCACAACUCAGGAUUGUUCACAGCCCCAGACCACCGGUGGGCAAAAAUGCAAGCGAUGAACCACCGAUGUGCAAAAUUCAAGACAAAGCCACUAGAACACUUGGAUCUUAUAGAAAGGGUGUUUGCAGACGCGGCUGCAAUGGGAAAACAUGCGUAGACGCCAACUGAAAUCUGCGAUGUUGAUGGAACCGGUGACAAUGCUGCAACCCCUGAUAGCGGCAUGGGGCCUCUCAGUGGUGGCACACCACCACAUGAUGUGCCAGAUCGUGUCGGCAAGAAUGUGGUGGAUUGUUCGCUGUUUGACGAUGCUCCUCCCCAUUCCAUCACAGAUGGCUCAGCUAAUGCCAAACGUCGGAAGCGGGUAGCCCCUGGUACUGUGCCAAGCAGCAUGGACAACCUUGUCGAGGCUGUUAGUAAACAAAAUAGGGAACUGAAAACAACACAGUAUGUCGUUAUAGGAAAGAGCAAAAACACUGUCGGGGACUGUCUUACGAGGUUGGUGACGGUGCCUGGGUUACAGGGGGUGGCCCGCUAUUCUCAUUCGCUUGCUCGCUUAUGGAUUCACUCGAUAAUCGUGACCUACUUAUGGGCCUCUCAUUAGAUUGCAUUGUCAAUUGGCUGAAAGAGAAGCGCGUAAUCACCCACUAACCUAUGGUGGAGCGUAGUCGUGGCGUUCGUUUAUUUGGACAGGAUGGUGUCGCCAAUAUGGACUAAGAACCAAGACAUGACAAUUUCGUUUGUUUUUUGGUUUUUGUUUUUUCUAUUUGGUAGUGGUUUGGUUGCACCUUUUUAAAUUUUAGAAUCUUUGGUUAAUUGGACUGUUUAUGUAAUGUAAGGAUGUUGCCAAAAAACUGUUAUGGUUGGGUUUGUAUUAUGUUUUUCAUAUUUUCUUUUUCAGUAGUGGUUUGGUUUCAACUUUUUAAUUUUUAACUCGUUGGUUAAUUGUAUCAAUGUUUGAAUUGUUGUUGGCAAAAA